CUCAUACUCCCUCCGUUCGGAAUUACUUGUCUCGGAAAUGGAUGUAUCUAGAACUAAAAUACGUCUAGAUACAUCCAUUUCCGCGACAAGUAAUUUUGUACGGAGGGAGUAAUAA
rfam:Triticum aestivum genome assembly, contig: Triticum_aestivum_CS42_TGACv1_scaffold_344102_4DL